ACACCCGCUAUUGGUGCAGCGCUGAAAUAUUUCCUCCAUGGGAAAAUAGCAACAUGGUUGAGAAAAAACGCGAGAGCACGGGCAGGUCGCAGGAUGGUGGACAAAGGCGGGUCCUGGACCAGGCCACCCGACAACGGCGCCUCAACCGGCAGCUUGACGCCUUGGAGAAGGACAACUUCCAGGACGAUCCACAUGCAAAUCUCCCACAGCUGAAGCGCCUGCCGCAGUUUGAUGACCCUCACACUGAGUCUGCAAAGAAAAAGAAAAAAACGCGUGGGGAUCACUUCAAGCAGCGUUUCCGCAAGAAUUUCCAGUCCUUAUUGGAGGAACAGAACCUGAGCUCAACCGAUGGGCCGAACUACCUGACCGCCUGCGUUGGUCCCUCCAAGCUCCCCCAGCGCCAUUUCUGUGCAGUGUGUGGCUUUCCAUCCAACUACACCUGUGCGUCGUGUGGAGCUCGGUACUGCUGUGUCAAGUGCCUGGGGACACAUCAAGAAACUAGGUGCCUGAAGUGGACGGUCUGAAGUUGGGAGGCUGUGCUCGAGUUAUCAGCUGCCCUCUUGAUGCUGGUUUAAAUGCAGCUUUUGUCCCAGGGGCCUGAACUGCCAAGUGGAGUAUGUUGGACUUUAAAAUGAUUCAUAGUGAAAACCCUGAUUUUCCACUAUUUCAAUGAACUUGUCUGGAUUUAACCUGUGUAAAAACCCCGCUGGUCCUUUCCUGAUGAUGCCUGGAUGUAGCUCAACAAUGCGAUUCGCUCUAUACUAUCAAUGGAGUCAUUCAAUAAGUGCAGGGUCUGCCAAGGAUGCCCAUGUCCAGUGAAUAAAUAAAAAUAUAUUUUAAAGACUUAUCAUUUGAAUUUCUACCUCCAAUUCUUCUGUAGCCUCUCCCACUUCCCAUCCAUAAAGCCCACGCACAGAUUAUGAAUAUGAUAAAAAAAAACUUGUAAAUUAUAUCAAUGCAAAUGUCUUUGCAAUUAUAUCAGGAAAAAACUGAGUGAUCAAGGCCAAUGUGGGCCAUUGGAAACUGAUACUGGUGAAAUUAUUAGUGUAGUAAGGGAAUGAGAGCUAUGCUGAGUGAUUGCUUGGUGUCAAUAUUUUUAUCAGAAGUGGAGGACAGGGAGCCAGAACUCACAAUGGAAAUGAUGUUGAAUCAUGGAUGGGGACUCCAAGUAAAAAAAAAGCAAAACAAAGAAAUUAUAGCCACUGAUGAGUGACAGAUUCUCAUGUUCAGAUGACCUCCAUCUCAGGGUUUUAAAGGAAGUAGAACGUUGUUGGUGUCCUAAAUUUAUAAUCUUCCAACACAAGAAGUCAACACAAGAAAAUAGGAGCAGAAGUAGGCUGUCAGACACUUCAGGCCUGCGCCUUCAUUUAAUAUGAUCAUGACUGAUCUAUGCUGUCCUCAACACCUGUCCUGUGCCAUUUCUCCAUGCCCCUCUAUUCCACGACCUAUCAAAUAUUUAUCCAUCUCUCCUUUAAAUACUAUUAAUGGUCCAACUUCCACCACCCACCUGGGUAGAGAAUUCCAGAGAUUCACCACCUUCUGCAAGAAGAAAUUUCUGUGCACCUCAGUUUUAAAUGACCAGCCCCUUAUCUCAUAGUUAUGUCCCUUUGAGAUUCUCCCACUGGUGAACUCCAGUGUUCUUGAUUUGGGAAAUCUUCCCAUUUGUUGGAAAAUUGUGCAGAUUACUAUACUGGUUUAGAAAGCUUAAUGAAGGAAACCGGGAGAUUAUAGACUAGCGAACCUAAGAUCUGCUGAUGGAAAUUACUUGGCUAUAUAAAUAAAUAAGAACUGAGCCACAGAAUUUUGGAAAAAAUGUUGGCUAAUUUUUUUGGAAGGGCUGAUUGACCACAGUAGUGGACAGGAGGUUGUCUAUACAGUUCAAGGCAUUGACUGAAGUCUGUCAGGGCAUUACUGGUUAAAGUUGAAUCUUGUAAGGAUGUGCUGGGUGCAGGUGUAGGUUUGAUUGCCUCUUAAACCUGCUGCUCCAUUUCUGAUCUUUGCCCAGCUCUCCUUUCCUGUCACUUCCCCAUGACCCUCUAUCCCCUCUGUCAGUGCAGUGUUCCCUUAUCACUGGACAAGAUGUUGGUCUAGCUUUUGUGCUCGCUUCUCUAGAGUGGAGCUUCUGGCUGAGAGCCAAGAGUGUGACCCACUGAACUGACUGUUACCUAAGGUUGCUUGAUUAAUAGCUAGAAGCUAUUUUUAGCUAGUUUUUCUCUGUAGAAAUCAAAAUAACAAAUCUGUUGAAGAAAAUCACCAGGUUAUCAAUAUAGAUACUUUUAUUGAAAAGUGCACAGAUUAUUGCAUCAUGACAAUACAUUCACUUACCAUGCAUAAUAUACAAUGCCCUUUGACUCUGAAUACCUUACUGAAGAAGAGGCAGUGUUUGGUGUCAGUGCAAGACUCUAAAUACUCUUAUUACAAUGUAAAAGAAUUGAAUAUAGCAGUGGAGAGUAUCAAAUCUUUUUCCAAAGUGCAUCCUCUACUGCACGGGUCAAAGGCAGCAGGUGUAUGGGAACAGUACCACAUCCAAGAUCCCCUAAGUCACACACCAUCCCUACUUGGAAAUAGAUUGUUGACCCUUCACCAUCAAUAGGUCAAACACCUGGCAUUCCCUCCCUGACACCACUGUUGGAGUCCCAUUAUUAUUUCUCCUGUGUGGACUGCAGUGAUCAUAAGGUGAUUCACUAUCACAAGUAAUUAGCACUAGGCAAUAAAUGACUCCAGCCAUGCCUGUUUUUCCAAUAAUUUAUAAAAAGAAAGAUUAAACAGUAGUUCUACAGGAAGCAUACAUUGAUGUGUCAAAAAUUUAAAAUGCCAUUUUUCAUUGGCUACAGAUUAAGUUUUAGUUGCUGUAAGAUCCCCUCUGGUUAUGUUUAGAGUGUGCUAAUGUGGUAAUAUACUCAAAGUUGUGAUGUUGCUGUGGACUGUCCCCUUCAAGGCCUCAGUGCCUAAAAAUAACUAAUGAGUAAUUGCAUUGCUUAAGGGGAAUGUCUAUGGAAUGGCACCUUUAGGAAAUCCUGAGCACUUCUGUUUGAGAAGAGACCUGGUUAUUAAAGAUCUAGCAGAUGAGUAGAUUUCUUCUGUUUAAGGUUAGAAUUACCUGUUUUUCCUUCACUUGGUUCACAUGCCUCUCAAAGUUCAUUUGUUGUCUUACGAAUGUUUUCCCAACCUGACACUUUCAGAUAUGUAGCUGUGUGGCUAUUUAUCUCUAAGCUGUAUCAGGAAUGAAAGGCUUGCCUGUCAUAACUUUGGUGUCAUAAUUUGCCCUUCAGUAUUUUGUUCCGGUGUACUCGUUUUCCCAAUGUGGUAAACUAGGCAUACAAUUCAUGCACCCACACCCCCAGAAACAGCAGUGUUUGAUACUGAUGGUUUGAGAGGUACAAUCUGGGUGGAACACAUCAGUUUCAGUAGUGGUGUGGAGUGUUUUUUGUAUCCUCCUGUGAGGCAGAUGAGGCCUUAGUUCAAAGUCUUAUCCUAAAGAUGACAAUGUAGCACUCCCUUUGUCCUGCACCUUUAAUGAAGACAUUGGAAUCAAGACCCUGGAUUGGAGUUUGAACCCAUGACCUGCCCACAAAGCAGUGAAAAUGAGACCACAGCCUCCCAGGGAAUUUCACAGGGAGACUGUAAAGGAUCAAGAUCCAGUCACAUACUGUCUCUUUCUGGAAACUGUUUCAAUCCUAAGCCUCUGUGUUGCCAUUAACAUUGGGAAUGGGCCUUUCAUAGUUGUCAAAGUGGAUUUGCAAUGGUUAAAUCCCUCAAAACCUACCAGACACUGCCUCUUUGGAAAAGCACACAAAUAACACAAAUAAAUAAUUUUACAAUAUAUCUUGGAGAAAAGUAUAUUUCACAGAGAAAUUCAAAGUGGGAUCAGUUUCAUUCCCAAUCUAUGGGCGGCAAGCACAGUAAUGUAGACAUAGUGUACUUGCACGUGGGUUGUCUUGUUCAAGUGAGUGGGGAUGAUAAUAAGUGUUUGCAAAGAUUCUGAUAAACAAUGUAAUGGCU